CCUACGGGAGGCAGCAGUGAGGAAUAUUGGUCAAUGGGCGGGAGCCUGAACCAGCCAAGUCGCGUGAGGGAAGACGGUCCUAUGGAUUGUAAACCUCGUUAGGCGGGGAGCAAUGCCGGGCACGCGUGCCCGGAGGGAGAGGACCCGCAGAAUAAGCAUCGGCUAACUCCGUGCCAGCAGCAGCGGUAAUACGGAGGAUGCGAGCGUUAUCCGGAUUUGUGGGGUUUAAAGGGUGCGUGGGCGGAUUUUUAAGUCAGGGGUAAAAUGUCCGGGCUCAACCCGGGCCGGCCGUUGAAACUGGGGAGCUUGAGUGGGCGAGAAGUAUGCGGAAUGCGUGGUGUAGCGGUGAAAUGCAUAGAUAUCACGCAGAACUCCGAUUGCGAAGGCAGCAUACCGGCGCCCGACUGACGCUGAGGCACGAAAGCGUGGGGAUCGAACAGGAUUAGAUACCCUUGUAGUC
rnacentral:rRNA from 1 species